rnacentral:rRNA from 1 species
GACGAACGCUGGCGGCGUGCUUAAUACAUGCAAGUCGAACGGUGAACCUCUUCGGAGGGGAUCAGUGGCGAACGGGUGAGUAACACGUGGGCAACCUGCCCCCGGCUCUGGGAUAACUCCAAGAAAUUGGGGCUAAUACCGGAUGUUCACCGCUUCCCGCAUGGGUGGUGGUGGAAAGGGUUUCCGGCUGGGGAUGGGCCCGCGGCCUAUCAGCUUGUUGGUGGGGUAGUGGCCUACCAAGGCGACGACGGGUAGCCGGCCUGAGAGGGUGACCGGCCACACUGGGACUGAGACACGGCCCAGACUCCUACGGGAGGCAGCAGUGGGGAAUAUUGCGCAAUGGGCGGAAGCCUGACGCAGCGACGCCGCGUGGGGGAUGACGGCCUUCGGGUUGUAAACCUCUUUCAGCAGGGACGAAGCGCAAGUGACGGUACCUGCAGAAGAAGCACCGGCCAACUACGUG